GACGAACGCUGGCGGCGUGCCUAAUACAUGCAAGUCGACGUUAGUGGCGAACGGUUUAGUAACACCUGGGUAAACUGCCCAUCAGAAUAGGAUAACACUUGGAAAAAGGUGCUCAUACCGUAUACUGAUUGAGGGACCCGCGGUGCAUUAGCUAGUUGGUGGGGUAACGGCUCACCAAGGCCACGAUGCAUAGCCGACCUGAGAGGGGGAUCGGCCACAUUGGGACUGAGACACGGCCCAAACUCCUACGGGAGGCAGCAGUAGGGAAUCUUCGGCAAUGGACGAAAGUCUGACCGAGCAACGCCGCGUGAGUGAAGAAGGUUUUCGGAUCGUAAAGCUCUGUUGUUAGAGAAGCGGUAUCUAACCAGAAAGCCACGGCUAACUACGUGCCAGCAGCCGCGGUAAUAC
rnacentral:rRNA from 1 species